rnacentral:rRNA from 1 species
CCUACGUGAGGCAGCAGUGAGGAAUAUUGGUCAAUGGGCGCGAGCCUGAACCAGCCAAGUAGCGUGAAGGAUGACUGCCCUACGGGUUGUAAACUUCUUUUAUAAAGGAAUAAAGUGAGGCACGUGUGCCUUUUUGUCUGUACUUUAUGAAUAAGGAUCGGCUAACUCCGUGCCAGCAGCCGCGGUAAUACAGAGGAUCCGAGCGUUAUCCGGAUUUAUUGGGUUUAAAGGGAGCGUAGAUGGGUUGUUAAGUCAGUUGUGAAAGUUUGCGGCUCAACCGUAAAAUUGCAAUUGAUACUGGCAGUCUUGAGUACAGUUGAGGUAGGCGGAAUUCGUGGUGUAGCGGUGAAAUGCUUAGAUAUCACGAAGAACUCCGAUUGCGAAGGCAGCUUACUAAACUGCCACUGACAUUGAUGCUCGAAAGUGUGGGUAUCAAACAGGAUUAGAUACCCCAGUAGUC